UCUGUCGUCACCGUGACCUCGCUUCGCUUUCGCAGGACUUGAUUAACUUUGUCCGUCCGCGGCUCCAGUAGCAGCUCUUCCGGACAGUGUGCGCUAGCGGUCUGUGUGAAGGUCGUGAGUCCAACCUGUGAUCCACCAUGUCUCUGCCAAAGCCUGUGAUGAGGGGGAUGCUGGCGAAGCGUCUGAGGUUUCACCUGCCCAUCGCUUUCGCCCUGGCUUUUGGCGCUGCCGUAAUGUUCAAGUACACCGUGACAGAGCCCAGGAAACGGGCCUACGCUGAGUUCUACAAGCAGUACGACUCUGUCAAGGAGUUCAACGCCAUGAGGGAAGCCGGCAUCUUCGAGAGCGUGCGGCCCUCUGGGGAGUAAACCCACCGUGAGUCUGUCUUUUCUGGGUGGGGUCGGAUCAGUGGAUCACAGUAACAUCUGUGAAGUGAAGUUCAAGCUCUCCCCCCCCCCGUCAUUCAUUCCUGGUCUGAGGAUGAAGUUCCUUCUUGCCCCGUUGGAUGUUAUUUACUGAUUUAGAUGUGAACUUCGCUAUGCUGUUUUGUUCCUCUAAAUAAAAUACGCUAUUAAUUUAA